rnacentral:rRNA from 1 species
CUGGCUCUUUCAGAGUCCGAGUUGUAAUUUGCAGAGGGCGCUUUGGCGUUGGCAGCGGUCCAAGUUCCUUGGAACAGGACGUCACAGAGGGUGAGAAUCCCGUACGUGGUCGCUGGCCUUCGCCGUGUAAAGCCCCUUCGACGAGUCGAGUUGUUUGGGAAUGCAGCUCUAAAUGGGAGGUAAAUUUCUUCUAAAGCUAAAUACUGGCCAGAGACCGAUAGCGCACAAGUAGAGUGAUCGAAAGAUGAAAAGCACUUUGGAAAGAGAGUCAAAUAGCACGUGAAAUUGUUGAAAGGGAAGCGCUUGCAGCCAGACUUGCCUGUAGUUGCUCAUCCGGGCUUUUGCCCGGUGCACUCUUCUGCGGGCAGGCCAGCAUCAGUUUGGGCGGUUGGAUAAAGGUCUCUGUCAUGUACCUCCUUUCGGGGAGGCCUUAUAGGGGAGACGUCAUGCAACCAGCCUGGACUGAGGUCCGCGCAUUUAUGCUAGGAUGCUGGCGUAAUGGCUGUAAGCGGCCCGUCUUGAAACACGGACCAAGGAGUCUAACAUCUAUGCGAGUGUUUGGGUGUCAAGCCCGAACGCGUAAUGAAAGUGAACGGAGGUGGGACCCCUUUAGGGUGCACCAUCGACCGAUCCUGAUGUCUUCGGAUGGAUUUGAGUAAGAGCAUGGCUGUUGGGACCCGAAAGAUGGUGAACUAUGCUUGAAUAGGGUG